rnacentral:rRNA from 1 species
GAUGAACGCUGGCGGCGUGCCUAAUACAUGCAAGUCGAGCGAACAGAUGAGGAGCUUGCUCCUCUGACGUUAGCGGCGGACGGGUGAGUAACACGUGGAUAACCUACCUAUAAGACUGGGAUAACUUCGGGAAACCGGAGCUAAUACCGGAUAAUAUAUUGAACCGCAUGGUUCAAUAGUGAAAGACGGUUUUGCUGUCACUUAUAGAUGGAUCCGCGCCGCAUUAGCUAGUUGGUAAGGUAACGGCUUACCAAGGCAACGAUGCGUAGCCGACCUGAGAGGGUGAUCGGCCACACUGGAACUGAGACACGGUCCAGACUCCUACGGGAGGCAGCAGUAGGGAAUCUUCCGCAAUGGGCGAAAGCCUGACGGAGCAACGCCGAGUGAGUGAUGAAGGUCUUCGGAUCGUAAAACUCUGUUAUUAGGGAAGAACAAAUGUGUAAGUAACUAUGCACGUAUUGACGGUACCUAAUCAGAAAGCCACGGCUAACUACGUG